GAGUUUGAUCCUGGCUCAGGACGAACGCUGGCGGCGUGCUUAACACAUGCAAGUCGAACGGUAAGGCCCCUUCGGGGGUACACGAGUGGCGAACGGGUGAGUAACACGUGAGCAACCUACCCUCGACACUGGAAUAACAGUUGGAAACAGCUGCUAAUGCCGGAUAUGACCUUCGGUGGCAUCACCUGGAGGUGGAAAGUGCUUAGCGGUCAAGGAUGGGCUCGCGGCCUAUCAGCUAGUUGGUGAGGUAACGGCUCACCAAGGCUUCGACGGGUAGCCGGCCUGAGAGGGCGACCGGCCACACUGGGACUGAGAUACGGCCCAGACUCCUACGGGAGGCAGCAGUGGGGAAUAUUGCACAAUGGGCGCAAGCCUGAUGCAGCAACGCCGCGUGCGGGAUGACGGCCUUCGGGUUGUAAACCGCUUUCAGUUCCGACGAAGCGCAAGUGACGGUAGGAACAGAAGAAGGACCGGCCAACUACGUGCCAGCAGCCGCGGUGAUACGUAGGGUCCGAGCGUUGUCCGGAAUUAUUGGGCGUAAAGGGCUUGUAGGCGGUUUGUCACGUCGGAAGUGAAAACUCAGGGCUUAACCCUGAGCCUGCUUCCGAUACGGGCAAACUAGAGGAAUGCAGGGGAGAAUGGAAUUCCUGGUGGAGCGGUGGAAUGCGCAGAUAUCAGGAGGAACACCGGUGGCGAAGGCGGUUCUCUGGGCAUUUCCUGACGCUGAGAAGCGAAAGCGUGGGGAGCAAACAGGCUUAGAUACCCUGGUAGUCCACGCCGUAAACGGUGGGCACUAGGUGUGGGGAACAUUCCACGUUCUCCGUGCCGAAGCUAACGCAUUAAGUGCCCCGCCUGGGGAGUACGGCCGCAAGGCUAAAACUCAAAGGAAUUGACGGGGGCCCGCACAAGCGGCGGAGCAUGCGGAUUAAUUCGAUGCAACGCGAAGAACCUUACCUGGGUUUGACAUAUACCGGAAAGCUGCAGAGAUGUAGCCCCCGCAAGGUCGGUAUACAGAAUCGUCGAC
rnacentral:rRNA from 1 species